UCUGUUUGAUUUAGAUGAUGUUCCAGACUAUUUGGAAGAAGGAAAGUCAGCUUUGGAUAUGUACUUAGAGGAUCCAAAGUUAGAUAUGAGGAGCCAUCCUAAUUUGAAUGUUCUGCAGUAUUGGAAAGAAAAUAUAUAUCGUUUUGGCGCUCUGACAUAUAUGGCAAUGGAUGUGCUUAGCAUUCCUAUAACUACAGUGGCUUCUGAAUCUUCGUUUAGUAUUGGUUCUCAGGUUAUAAGCAAGUAUCGAAGUAGAUUGUUGCCUAGUAAUGUUCAGGCUCUAUUGUGUACACGUUCUUGGAUACAUGGUUACCUACUUGAUGAUGAAGGUAAAAGUAUUUUGUCUGUUGAUUAGCAUGAUUUAUUUGCUGUGAAUUGAGAUGAAUUUAACAGUUCAAUUGUAUUGCAGAAAAUGACGAAGGUGAGAUGGUUAUUAUUCGAGCAAGCCCAAAUGGAGUAGAAGAAUUUGGGAGCAGCCAAAGAACUGAGAACCUUCAAUCCAAUCCAUAAUUAACUUCGACGUCCUCCACCGGCACUUGUAAGGAAGAGAUUGGUUCUGUCAGUAUGAAGAGAUUCGUAAGCUUUUACGUUGGUGACGAAGAGGAGAAUCUUAAGAGUCUUUUAUAAAUCUAUGCUUUAGUUUUUAAUUUCAUGAAACUGCUGAGAAUAUGAAAAUAUUAUUGUGAAACAUGCAUUUUAUACAAUUUUCUCCAUUGUAUUAAAUUUUAUGAUUUUUAAUUUAUAAAUUAUAGAGAACAAAAAAGGUUAUAUGAGUUAUGGUAUUAUUGGUUAAUAUUGUUACUAUAUAAUAGUUAGUCAACUCAUUAAAACCACUAACUCAUUAAUCUAAAUGAAUUAGAGACUAAACCAAACCAUUCUAAAUGAAUUAGAGACUAAACCAAACCAUUAGGUAAAUGGUUUGGGUUGAACCCAAACCAUAACCAAUAGAAGACUGGAUUUAUUUGGAUAUUGUUUGGUUUGGGUUGGUUUACCCAUUUUGACAACUCUAAGUACAUGUCACCUAGUUGACUUGGUAAACAAGUAAACUUCAUUGGAGGUUUGUUAUGAUAAAAAUGUCACUUUCAAAGUUUAAAGUGCUAGUCAAAACAUUCAGUGUUCAAUGUGCGAGACUGUGACACUCUCAGAGUUUAAAAUGCGAUUUUCCCAAUAAAAUUUCGAGAGCAUAUCACAUUGACAUACUUUACCCUUGUAGUUUUACACUUUAACAUACUUUAUGCUUGCAGUGUACUUUCGACAUGUGUUGGUCUUUUUUUGUGCCGAAAUUGCCCCUAACAGAAAGUAAAUGCUUUAACAUAAUAGAUUACAACAUUGGUUCGGUCCUAAACACUAGUUUGUGGUUACUUGACAACCGAGUUCGUGGUCACGGUUUUGUAAGUCUUGUUGGACUUGUGGUCAUUGAUUAAUGUUGAAGGUAUAGUCACAAGACAAACGUAACAGUUAGCCUAGCCGUAGUUGUGGUCAGUGGUCAAAAACAACUUGAAAUUGUGGGCACUAGAUAUUGGUAAAUCCGUAGAUCCAGGCUGUUGGUUGGUGUAUUUUCAUCUUUAUGGUCACUGCACAAAAUCUUAUUGCUCUGGCCAUACCAUAAACACUUGGUGGAAAAAAUAGUAAUUAAUGGACUCAUGAAACGGUGCUGUAUAUUCAUCUCCCACUGUAACUGGCCGCCAAUACCACACCUUACCUCGUAAGCUUCUUCCAAUUUCCAGAACCCACAUCGUUCACCUGACCCCUGCCCAUAGCUGUCUUCGUACAAGCAAUGUUCCUCAAGAACCUCACAUCAUUGUUAUGGUGAGCGUCACGCAGGUAAUGGCUCCUCGAAAAAUUUGAUUCAGAACCAUCACUAUCACCAUCUUCUUCAGCCACGAGUGUUGGAGGAGUGAGGGCUUAUGGUGGAGUUGGACGAGAUUGAAAUCUUGCGGCGAUGGAGACAUAAAGAGAAGAAGAUAAAGUUUUUUAAGUACAAGGGCUUUUUGGGUAAAUUACAAGAACAAAGUACAUGAUCAGUCCAAAGUAUGUGUAAGUGUAAAAUGAGAGGGUAAAAGUAUGUCUAGAUGUAAUUUUUUCUAAAAUUUCAAACAUAAAAACAUUCUUUUGGAUCAUUAUAAGUUGGCAAAAUAAAAUAACACAUAAGCAAGUCAAUGUGUGUGUGAGUUGUGAAUAGUUGGUGAACUUGGUCUUAGGCCCGUGUUAGACUUUUAGCCCAAUAGGAAGAAAAAAUGUUAAAAAGAACUGAAGAACCAUGUGCGUUCUUGCAUGAGGUCUCAAAGCCCAACCUCUUGGUUCUAUUUAGUGCAAUGAUCUUUCUUGCUUUCUCACAUGUUAUUAUGACUGAGAUAUUAAUUAUUUAGUAGCAGAGUGCCUAAAUUAAACUAGACGAUAAAAUGUUGAUUACUACCUAAAGUUAAUUAAGAACAUCCCAUAAUAAAGUGCAUAUCACACAGUUAACUUAAUUCAAUCUAUAUAAGUGAUACAGAAUUAAUAUUAUUAUUUUUGUAACAGUUGAAGCUCCGUAUAAUCUCUUACAUAUUCGAAGUUAGCUUUUAAAUAUUCCAAUUUUAAAUAUAUAAGGUCCAUAAUUUCUCUUAGUUCUGAAGUCAGCUUUUAAAUAUUUUUAUCUGAAAGGUAUUGUUCUGUAUUAAAUGUGAUUUGAACUCGGAGCACAAAAAAACUAAUUUCUCUGAUGGAAAUUGCAUGGUAUAACACCAACAAAAAAUUUAAAAUUCACUCACUAACCAGAAUAACACGAUCUCUCACAUUUUUUCUCUUCCUAUCUCUUUCUAUCUUAUUUCUACAAAACCAAUUUUCUUUUUUUUUGGCUAUUUCACAAAUAAGCUCAUUCUCUUAUACAACCAACAUGUUAGUAACAUUUUUUUUGUCAAAUUCUAAAUUUAUUUCAUAAAAAUGGCAUUGUGAUACAAGUAAACCUGAAUUAAAAUCUGCUACAAAUAAUAAAGGACUAUCUAAAAAUCCCCCAAACAGAUAAAAAUAUUCUUAAACACAAUACUUAAGUCUGAUUAAUCUCAAUCCAGUAACUAAGACAGUAAGACUAAAGCUAGAGGAGUAGAUAAGCCGUUAACACUUAGCAACCAGUAUGACCAACUGAGCUAAUUCAUGAACCUCCAAGACAAAUAGUCAAGGAAGAAGCGAGCAACAACGGAGAUAAUCUUGGAGGAUACAUGCGGAGGCGGUUAGGCGUCCCGCCCCUGACCCUCACAAAAAGAGAAAUCCGUAAUCAACCAUUCCAGAGGCAAAAAGUGGAGGAGAUUGUAGAUCUUUGCUGAUAACUCUAAAGUUAAAUAAUCUAGAUUUAAGGUUUAAAAUUGGGGGAUAUGAUAGGUUUUGGAACGUAGAGUUUAUGAUUCUAAUAAAUAUAUAAAUACAUACUUUAAAAAAAAUAAAAUUUGAAAAAAUAAAAUUUGAAAAAAAAAUCGAAAAAAGAAAAUUAAAAAAAGUUCGAAUUAAAAAAAAAGUCAAAUUUGAAAACUUUUUAUUUAAAUAAUUAUUUAUUAUAUAUAUAGAAAGAAGAAAAAUAUAAGAAUUUUUUGCUUCUUAAUGAAGAAAAUAUUGUUUU